rnacentral:rRNA from 1 species
UACGGAGGAUGCAAGCGUUAUCCGGAUUUAUUGGGUUUAAGGGGUGCGCAGGUGGUUUAAUAAGUCAGUGGUGAAAGUCUGCCGCUUAACGGUAGGAUUGCCAUUGAUACUGUUGGACUUGAAUAUGGAUGAGGUAGGCGGAAUGUGUAGUGUAGCGGUGAAAUGCUUAGAUAUUACACAGAACACCGAUUGCGAAGGCAGCUUACUAAUCCAUGAUUGACGCUGAGGCACGAAAGCGUGGGGAUCAAACAGGAUUA